rnacentral:misc_RNA from 1 species
GAUGAAGAACGCAGUGAAAUGCGAUAAGUAAUGUGAAUUGCAGAAUUCAGUGAAUCAUCGAAUCUUUGAACGCACAUUGCGCCCGCCAGUAUUCUGGCGGGCAUGCCUGUUCGAGCGUCAUUUCAACCAUCAAGCCCCAGGCUUGUGUUGGGGACCUGCGGCUGCCGCAGGCCCUGAAAACCAGUGGCGGGCUCGCUGUCACACCGGGCGUAGUAGAUUUUAUCUCGCUCAGGGCGUGCUGCGGGUUCCGGCCGUUAAAAAGCCUUUUUUACCCAAGGUUGACCUCGGAUCAGGUAGGAAGACCCGCCGAACUUAAGCAUAUCAAUAAGCGGAGGA